rfam:Oryza glumipatula chromosome 3, whole genome shotgun sequence.
UUUAAGUGCAGUUUUGGGCUUCCAUGUCCAACAUUUGACUGUCCGUAUUAUUUGAAAUUUUUUAUGAUUAGUAUUUUUGUUAUUAUUAGAUGGCAUAUUAUGAAUAGUACUUUUAUGUGUGACUCAUUUUUCUAGAUUUUUUCAUAAAUUUUUCAAAUAAAACGAAUGGUCAAACGUUUGACAUAAAAACACAUGACUACGCUUAAG